rnacentral:rRNA from 1 species
UACGUAGGGUGCAAGCGUUGUCCGGAAUUAUUGGGCGUAAAGAGCUCGUAGGCGGUUUGUCGCGUCGGCUGUGAAGACCUGGGGCUCAACCCCGGGCCUGCAGCCGAUACGGGCAAACUAGAAUUCGGUAGGGGAGACUGGAAUUCCCGGUGUAGCGGUGAAAUGCGCAGAUAUCGGGAGGAACACCGGUGGCGAAGGCGGUUCUCUGGGCCUUACCUGACGCUGAGGAGCGAAAGCGUGGGGAGCGAACAGG